CUGGGAUCCGGCGCCAUAAUAAUCUCGAAUCCCCCCAGGCCAGUCCGCAUCCGACACGUGUCCCACUCCCCGUGGCAGAUGGCUGAAGGCGGCUGGCGGUUGGCAGGGCCAUAAUUGCGCCGUGCCUAGGCCAGCGUACCUGCGGGGUCUUCGAAGCGUCCUCUCGUACCGCCCCAAUUCGAAAAGACUCCGGCACGCGCUCAUUUAAUGCCAAAAUAUCUGGGAGCGGCAGGGCACGGGAUUCGAAGGGACGGUUCCGGUUGUACUUCUGUGUACUUCCUUCGUUUGAAAUUCAAAACUCGGAUGUAGGGGGACUGGUGUUGGG
rnacentral:lncRNA from 1 species